AACGCACAUUGCGCCCUUUGGUAUUCCGAAGGGCAUGCCUGUUCGAGCGUCAUUAUCACCCCUCGAGCCCUCUGGGUUUGAUGUUGGACGGCCUGGUCGGGGGCUUCACGCCUCCCCGACCCCUCCUAAAGACAAUGACGGCGGCCUCGUGGGACCCCCGGUACACUGAGCUUCUUAACUGAGCACGUAUCGGAUCAAGGGUGCCCGGGACACGGUCUCUCUUUCGUCUCCCCCUCCGCGGGAAGAUGGAAAAAACUCCUUUCUAAGGUUGACCUCGGAUCAGGUAGGAAUACCCGCUGAACUUAA
rnacentral:rRNA from 1 species